rnacentral:rRNA from 1 species
CAGUAGCCACGGUAAAACGGAGGGGGCUAGCGUUGUUCGGAAUUACUGGGCGUAAAGCGUACGUAGGCGGCUUUGUAAGUUAGAGGUGAAAGCCUGGUGCUCAACACCAGAACUGCCUUUAAGACUGCAUCGCUUGAACGUCGGAGAGGUGAGUGGAAUUCCGAGUGUAGAGGUGAAAUUCGUAGAUAUUCGGAAGAACACCAGUGGCGAAGGCGGCUCACUGGACGACUGUUGACGCUGAGGUACGAAAGCGUGGGGGGCAAACAGGAUUAGAUACCCCGGUAGUCCCUGUCUCUUAUAC